UACGGAGGGUGCAAGCGUUGUCCGGAUUUAUUGGGUUUAAAGGGUGCGUAGGCGGCCCUGUAAGUCAGUGGUGAAAUACUGCAGCUUAACUGUAGCAUUGCCAUUGAUACUGCAGGGCUUGAGUACAGAUGAGGUAGGCGGAAUUGAUGGUGUAGCGGUGAAAUGCAUAGAUACCAUCAAGAACACCGAUUGCGAAGGCAGCUUACUAAGCUGUAACUGACGCUGAGGCACGAAAGCGUGGGGGAGCAAACAGG
rnacentral:rRNA from 1 species